GACGAACGCUGGCGGCGUGCUUAACACAUGCAAGUCGAACGGAAAGGCCCUGCUUUUGUGGGGUGCUCGAGUGGCGAACGGGUGAGUAACACGUGAGUAACCUGCCCUUGACUUUGGGAUAACUUCAGGAAACUGGGGCUAAUACCGGAUAGGAGCUCCUGCUGCAUGGUGGGGGUUGGAAAGUUUCGGCGGUUGGGGAUGGACUCGCGGCUUAUCAGCUUGUUGGUGGGGUAGUGGCUUACCAAGGCUUUGGCGGGUAGCCGGCCUGAGAGGGUGACCGGCCACAUUGGUCCUGCCAUACGGCCCAGACUCCUACGGGAGGCAGCAGUGGGGAAUAUUGCACCAUGGGCGGAAGCCUGAUGCAGCAACGCCGCGUGCGGGAUGACGGCCUUCGGGUUGUAAACCGCUUUCGCCUGUGACGAAGCGUGAGUGACGGUAAUGGGUAAAGAAGCACCGGCUAACUACGUG
rnacentral:rRNA from 1 species